rnacentral:tRNA from 1 species
UUAGAAAAUAGUUUUAAAAAUAUUAAUAUUGGAAAUUAAAGUUGAAAGGAUUUUCUUUCUUUUCUA